rnacentral:rRNA from 1 species
GUCCACGCUGUAAACGAUGGGCACUAGGUGUCCGGGUAUUGACCCCUGGGUGCCGCAGCUAACGCAUUAAGUGCCCCGCCUGGGGAGUACGGUCGCAAGAUUAAACUACAAGGAAUUGACGGGGCCCGGCACAAGCGGUGGAGCAUGUGGUUCAAUUCGACGCAACGCGAAGAACCUUACCUGGGCUAGACAACAGCGGACCGUCCUAGAAAUAGGAUUUUCCCUUCGGGGACGCUGGUUCAGGUGCUGCAUGGCUGUCGU